GAAAGGGUGUCAACAUGUGACCAAGAAAGACUCAACAACAGAGGAGUCAGAAGCAGCAGCCCUGUCUCCCAUAACUUUACCCCUCCCCAUCCCAGUGAAGAAGAGGCCCAGGAGGAGGAGGAGCUCCCGUGUGUCCUUCAGUGAAGAAGAGAGAAGUCAUCAGUCCAG